rnacentral:rRNA from 1 species
UACGUAGGGUGCAAGCGUUAAUCGGAAUACUGGGCGUAAAGCGUGCGCAGGCGGUUGUGCAAGACAGAUGUGAAAUCCCCGGGCUCAACCUGGGAAUUGCAUUUGUGACUGCACGGCUAGAGUGUGUCAGAGGGGGGUAGAAUUCCACGUGUAGCAGUGAAAUGCGUAGAGAUGUGGAGGAAUACCGAUGGCGAAGGCCAGCCCCCUGGGAUAACGACUGACGCUCAUGCAGCGAAAGCGUGGGGAGCAAACAGG